CUUCCCUAGUCCCAAAGGGAGCCCUGGAAAAAACGGAAGGGUCAGUUCACAUCAGUAAUUUGAAACUGGUUGCAUCCUGCCAGUAGUCAUAUGCUUGUCUCAAAGGCUCCUCAAGGAGACGCGGCGCGGGGAGGACAUCAAAGCCCCCGUCGUGUCUCGCAACCCACGCAGCCCGCUCGCACGGGCGCGCUAGGGCUGUCGACCCACGACGUCGUGCUCGAUCUCUCGGAUGCGGAAAACCUAGCGGCUACGAGGCCACGACCUCCACCGCCCCUUAGAAGAGCGUCACACGCUCCCUGCGGACAACUGCCGGCCGGGUCUUGCCCCGGAGCCCCAGCGGCUCCCGGAUCAUGCCCGGCGGG
rnacentral:misc_RNA from 2 species